rnacentral:rRNA from 1 species
GAUGAACGCUGGCGGCGUGCCUAAUACAUGCAAGUCGAACGAAACUUCUUUAUCACCGAGUGCUUGCACUCACCGAUAAAGAGUUGAGUGGCGAACGGGUGAGUAACACGUGGGCAACCUGCCCAAAAGAGGGGGAUAACACUUGGAAACAGGUGCUAAUACCGCAUAACCAUAGUUACCGCAUGGUAACUAUGUAAAAGGUGGCUAUACUACCGCUUUUGGAUGGGCCCGCGGCGCAUUAGCUAGUUGGUAGGGUAAAGGCUUACCAAGGCAAUGAUGCGUAGCCGAAUUGAGAGGUGGAUCGGCCACAUUGGGACUGAGACACGGCCCAAACUCCUGCGGGAGGCAGCAGUAGGGAAUCUUCCACAAUGGGCGAAAGCCUGAUGGAGCAACGCCGCGUGGGUGAAGAAGGUCUUCGGAUCGUAAAACCCUGUUGUUAGAGAAGAAAGUGCGUGAGAGUAACUGUUCACGUUUCGACGGUAUCUAACCAGAAAGCCACGGCUAACUACGUG